AGGUUUUGGAGGUUGGUAAACUUUCGGAGGCUGAAGCGCGAAGCUUGGAAGAGCUUCUGGAUUAAACCCUAGGUCGAUUUAUUGUAGCCUGAGCUUAACAAAAUCAUAUGAAACAGCUGUUGUCAACAAGGCAUGUGCCAUAAUUAUACUGCCAAAAAAGGCAGAUGGAUAUGAAGUUGACACUGAUGCCUGUCUAUCAGUUCUGGCUC